rnacentral:rRNA from 1 species
UUGACCUCGGAUCAGGUAGGACUACCCGCUGAACUUAAGCAUAUCAAUAAGCGGAGGAAAAGAAACCAACAGGGAUUGCCCCAGUAACGGCGAGUGAAGCGGCAACAGCUCAAAUUUGAAAUCUGGCCCUCGGGUCCGAGUUGUAAUUUGGAGAGGAUGCUUCUGGCGCGGCGCCGUCCGAGUUCCUUGGAACAGGACGCCAUAGAGGGUGAGAGCCCCGUACGGGCGGCCGCCUAGCCUUUGUGAAGCUCCUUCGACGAGUCGAGUAGUUUGGGAAUGCUGCUCAAAAUGGGAGGUAAAUUUCUUCUAAAGCUAAAUACCGGCCAGAGACCGAUAGCGCACAAGUAGAGUGAUCGAAAGAUGAAAAGCACUUUGAAAAGAGGGUUAAAAAGUACGUGAAAUUGUUGAAAGGGAAGCGCCUGUGACCAGACUUGCGGCCCGCGGAUCAUCCGGCUUCCUCGCCGGUGCACUCCGCGGGCGGCAGGCCAGCAUCGGUUUUCCUGGGGGGUCAAAGGUCGCGGGAACGUGGCUCCUUCGGGAGUGUUAUAGCCCGCGGCGUCAUGCCUCUGGGGGGACCGAGGACCGCGCUUCGGCAAGGAUGCUGGCGUAAUGGUCACCGGCGACCCGU